UGUAGUAAUACAAGGCAGACGGCUCAGUAACGCGUAGUCAACCUACCCUAUGGACGGGGAUAACCUCGGGAAACUGAGAAUAAUACCCGAUAGAACAUUAUGCCUGGAAUGGUUUAUGUUUCAAAUAAUUUAUUGCCGUAGGAUGGGACUGCGGCCUAUCAGUUUGUUGGUGAGGUAAUGGCCCACCAAGACUAUUACAGGUACGGGCUCUGAGAGGAGUAGCCCGGAGAUGGGUACUGAGACACGGACCCAGGCCCUAUGGGGCGCAGCAGGCGAGAAAACUUUGCAAUGUGCGAAAGCACGACAAGGUUAAUCCGAGUGGUUUCUGCUAAAGGAACCUUUUGUCAGUCCUAGAAACACUGGUGAAUAAGGGGUGGGCAAGUUCUGGUGUCAGCCGCCGCGGUAAAACCAGCACCUCAAGUGGUCAGGAUGAUCAUUGGGCCUAAAGCAUCCGUAGCCUGCUUUGUAAGUUUUCGGUUAAAUCCAUACGCUCAACGUAUGGGCUGCCGGGAAUACUGCAAAGCUAGGGAGUGGGAGAGGUAGACGGUACUCGGUAGGAAGGGGUAAAAUCCUUUGAUCUAUUGAUGACCACCUGUGGCGAAGGCGGUCUACCAGAACACGUCCGACGGUGAGGGAUGAAAGCUGGGGGAGCAAACCGGAUUAGAUACCCGGGUAGUCCCAGCUGUAAACUAUGCAAACUCAGUGAUGCAUUGGCUUGAUGCCAAUGCAGUGCUGCAGGGAAGCCGUUAAGUUUGCCGCCUGGGAAGUACGUACGCAAGUAUGAAACUUAAAGGAAUUGGCGGGGGAGCACCACAAGGGGUGAAGCCUGCGGUUCAAUUGGA
rnacentral:rRNA from 1 species